CUGACUGCCGUUCGCUGGCUCCCUUAUAUCUUAUACGUGUCCUCCGGUUGAUAUCUCGAUAAACAUACGUGGUGUGUUCUAGCGUUUGCGUGGCCCGCGAAGAAGAUUGGCGAUAUCGGCGCCGAUAUCGCAGCUUCAGGAUACGUAAACUUCAAAUUUCAAACUGGAAGAUCGAUCCUUUUAUCCCGUUAACUCUAAAGCGUAAAUCUAGCAUUUGUUCUAUAAGACAGGCCAAUUUUUGGGAAUUUUUAACGCGAAAACUAUCUACCGGAAAAAGUUCAAAUUUGAAUACGCGAACAUACACAUCUUGAAGUAUAUAUUGUUAAAUAUUGUUUUGAAAAAUAUUAGAAAAUAGCGUAGUGAUAGAUUUUUUUCAAAAAUAAUGUAACAAUGCAAUUUUAUUUUCAUCUUUUUUAGUUUCCAUUCAUAUUAAAGAGUUCAACAUUACUGUGAUGGCGUAUGCUUAGAUCGUUAUGAGAAACUCAAUAUACUUUUUUUAUCACAUGUUUCCAGGUGACACAUCUGGGACUCUACGGAGCUUUUAGAGCUACAGAAAAAUAAAAUACUGCUACUUAAUACUUUAUAAUCUGCGAUAUUAUUUGUCCUUGAACUGUAACAAUAAUAAUAAUACAUAUAAAACACACUCGCUAAGAAUUCUAAAUUUCCCAGAUUUCAAAUAAAAUAUCUACGUUUUCUAUUUAAUAAAAUAAUUAACUCGGAAAGGGAUAAAACAUUAACUGCCACCCACGAGUAAAUAAUGUGUAAAUGGCAUUUCAAGGAUGAACAAAAAUCAGUAUGCAUUGAAAUCUGAAUAUUCGCGAUAAAAUGAAAAGAGUAACGAGUUAUCUCAUAGCUGGUGUCUAUGGGGAAUCAUUUCAUUCAAAACUACCAAGGCAAUCAACGCAUGAAGCGUAAUUGAUUCAACAAGCGUCGCUGUGCUCAAAAUAGCAGAACAUCCUCCUCUCAUUAUUGGCUUUUUCUUCGAUAUGCUUUCUCAUUCACUCUUUUUUUGUUUUUAAUAUUGUUAUCGCAACUUUCAGAUGCAUUAGCUCCUUCUGCGACUUCUAUCACCAGACUAACGGGAGAAGAAAUAUUUAGGUCGUUUGAUAUCUAAUCUAUGUACUUGCAAGUUUUGACGUCACCGAGCACUCAAUGGGGAUACAAUGUGACAAACAUGUUUCUAUUCCGCAGGUAAUUUUCUAGAAACCCUACGUCAAAUUAUUCAGGUAGUCUAUAAGCAAAUGCAACGUGAUUACUAUGCUCAUACUGUUCCAAAUUGAGGUCAGUUUAAUCUACAAGAUCUGUUUAACACGUUCUGAAAGGUUGUCUAUCAUUUUUUAAGUAUAAUUAUUUGUUUCUAACAAAAUAGUUAAAAUGGACCAGAUAUGAAAUUUAAAUUUAAUGGGUUCGAUAGCUUUGCCUUUGUCUUGAAAAUGUCCCAUGUGUCAUCGAAUGACUAAGACUAAGCACUAAACGAAAUUUUGUGAAUAAAGGGUUGUAGAGUCUAUUUCUAUUAUUUUUGUUUUUUCAUCAUGAUUUACGAAUUCUAUCCAAAUUUGUUUUCAUUAACCCUUAGCCAUUAAAAUUAAUUGUUAAAGUUCCUUAAAGAAAAGUUCUGUCACUCAUAUAUGGAUGACGUGGCCUUCAACGUGUUGAGUCAGGCAUUUCAAUCCAUCUUUGAGUCAACUUUCAAACAAGUCUUACUCAUUCACUUAUACGAAUGCAUCAACAAGAAAUGGAACAAUAUAUGGAAAAUAGAAAAGAUACUAAAAAUCCAUAAAAUAUCAGACGACUUUUCUGAACAAUUCACCCACAGGACACUUCAAUAAAACUGAUUAAGUCAAAAUUGGGCAUACAAAAUACAUCCAUCGACAUCUACUUGGAAACAUAAUAUUUACCUGGAACAAUACGGAACCACUCCACAUACAAUACAAUCUACAAAAACUAUACAAAAUAAUCCAGCUACGUAAAAAUGCACAUAUUUGGUCCAACAUCUAACAAUACGAAUAACCACAUAAAAAUUGUUAAUAACCAACGAUUGAUGCGACGUUAAAUAUGAAAGGAAAAGAAAGUCUUACUCAUUGUGUUAAAAUAAGUUUAAAAACUGAUCUUUUUUUCUCCCUGUAAUACCUGCAAGUGUUAAGUUUCUGAAACAGUUGAUUGUGUAAUUGUUUCCGCGAUGGAUGCCGUCUGUGGCACUAUAAACAAGUUCAAGCGCAAUUCAUUCAAUCCCUGCCGCUUAGAAUAUUCGGGGGAACCUCUAUUGGUGAAAGUUGUUAUGCCAUGGCCUGGAGAACGCUAUUCUCGGUAAAUUUGUCACGAGCUUAAGCGUGGGAGUACCAAGGCUGAUCUACACGAAACCGUUUCGCGUUAUUUUUGAACAUCCGAAGGACAAUUGGGCAGAAGGCUGUCUUCUGGAGCGAAUUUGCGUUGCGUUUAUACUGGGUGUUCCAUUCUAAUACAUUUAAAUUUGGUACCAAUCAAUGACAAUAUCAAUGAGACAUUUCAAGUAAAAUCUAAAACGUAUUGAAGAGAUAGAAGGAUUUACUCUGAAGAGUCAAUUGUCUAUGCAGAUUCCUAAAAGGCAAAAACAACCCUUCAUUCUUCCUAAAUUGUUCUUGACACACAUUAAUUGUAGUAAAUUAAUAUUUUCAUAACAAUAUAAACUGUUUUCCUUUUACGAAUUAUACUUCAAGGAUGACACACUACCUACCAUUUUAUCUGAAAUCUUAGUAUCUAGAUUUCUAAAUAAUAAACUCACAUGCGUUAAAAGAAUAUUCUAAUCUAGAGCUUCAAUUUUUAGUUUUUUUUAAGGAUUUUUUGUAAUCUAUAAGGAACUUUUAUAAAAGGUUUUACACACUUAUUUAUUCACAUUUUAUGAACAUACACAAUUUUUUGCAGGUAAAAAUAAUAAAAAUUAAACGUAAUACAAGUGAUCUUCUAUAGUCCUUCUAAAGUUUUUCAUACCAAACACGUAUACUUACGUUCCCGAUGAAAAUUCAAUCCUCGUGUACUUGCUUGUUGAAAAUGAAUGUCACUUUUGCACAUUUUACACAUUACUAACGAACAAAUUGUACUAAAAACUGCGAGGAAAUUUAAAAUAGAGUAUCCAAAUGAACUGCAAACGAUAAAGUUGUUGCGGACACCAUUUUCAUUCCAAAUCCUUCGACAGAUAUAUUUUCAAAGGUUUACACUUUGAGAAAAUGCAAAAACAAAAUCGAUAUUUAGAAAGUUCUAAACUAGAAUACCGCCUUGAAAGAAAAAGAAUUAAUAUAUAAAAAUAAUUCAUCAAAUCUGGAUAAAAAUACGAAAAACUUAAAGUCACAUUACCAAUUGAAGUAAUACUUUCUAAUAUACGCACUUUUAAGAUCACGAGGAAUCAAAUUAAAAUUGAAUCAGGAGUACAAUUACAUUCUUAUCGGACGUAAUAAUAGCGAAUUUCUCGAUGUAUCUUCUUUUACGAGCUUUCAUGUCUCGAUUUAACACUGUAUACUUUCUGUUGUCACAAGAUACGAACAUUAUGUAAUGGUAGCUUUAUUUUAGGAAUCAUUUCACGAGAUUAUCGCUGCUUUCCUGUAAUAGUGGCCUAACAAAUUUCUUAAACAUACAGUACAUUCUUUAUCUGCCAUUGUUUGACAAGGCUCGUUGAAGUCUAUUUUUUGAUGAAACCUGCAACAAAGUGCGUCGCGAUACCUUGAAAAGAUAAAUGAAUUGCGCAAAUUGAUUUUUUAUCUGCGAUCUUUUAUCGCAUUCGUCAGGUCAUUUGCUCGACUUAUCUUUCGAUUGUUUUUAUGCUAUUCAAAGACGUGUAGAAAUUUCAUUGCUUGUACGCUCGAUCUCGAGAUAUCUGUAUUAUUAAAAUUAUACAAAAACGUGUGACGCAAGUGUCGGUAUUGAUUGACUAAUCAAAAGUGUCUAUCAGUUCUGUUGACUUCUAUUAAAAAACUCCUGAUUUUAUGAUAACAUUCCUGGAUAAUGAGUUUCCUAGUUAAAAAGACAGUUCACUUAGUGAAAUAAUAUGUAAUUGUAUAUUUGUUUCAUUUACAUACAUUUCCGUAUCAAUAAAUACGCGCCACGAAUUUCGUGGCGUUAGAUCAAUUUUUGUUACAAAGUAGUGCAAUUUAGUUUGAAAAACACUCGUGGUCCAUCGAUAGUUUCCGAGCUGUCAGUCGACGAUUAUCGCGAUUACAACGUAACGCAAUUUCGAAUUACACUUUGAGAUGAUACCGAUGACUGAAGUGACGCGUGACUGGCGCAUGGCUCACGAAGGACGUUGAAGUGUACACAUAGACAAUUGUAAAUUAAAAAUAGAAUUGUUCGCAAGAUCGAAGGAACGCAGAGUAGAAUAAGAAUUGUCGAUGAAAAGUCUGGCUCUGCCCUGAAUGUACAACCUGUAUCCGUCGCGCGCGCAUAGUUAACGCGCUGAAUUGUUUUCAUUUUAUUUAGUAUUACAGUGUAUAUCAAUUCGUUUCUUAUAGACUGUUAAGUAUUCGCAUGUAACUUAAAGUACUCGCUUAUAAAUAACGAACAAAGAAAACAACGUGGCUUAUCGUUAUCGUACCUAAACGGGGCCAGUAUAAAAAUAAUUAAAAUUACAAUACUUGCAAGGAUCAUUUCUUAACUUUGUGUACCUUACGAAUGGAAUCAUUAAGUUUCAAGCUAAAAAAGAAAAGAGAUAGUUCCGGAGAAAGAGAGACAGAGAGAGAGAGAGAGAGAGAGAGAGAGAGAGAGAGAGAGAGAGAGAAACGUUUCUUUUUGCAUAUUUUCUUUCGUAAAUGUUUGCAUUUUACAGAGCAGUGACUGGUAAAUUAUGAUCGAAUCAACGGUGACGUAAUGAAAAUAUUAAG